UGCGUAGGCGGCGUUACAAGUCAGGAGUUAAAGAUUGUAGCUUAACUACGAUAUGCUCUUGAUACUGUAGUGCUUGAAUUGGGAUGAGGAUAGCGGAAUGUGACAUGUAGCGGUGAAAUGCAUAGAUAUGUCAUAGAACACCGAUUGCGAAGGCAGCUAUCUGGCCCUAUAUUGACGCUGAUGCACGAAAGCGUGGGGAGCGAACAGGAUUAGAUACCCUGGUAGUCC
rnacentral:rRNA from 1 species